rnacentral:rRNA from 1 species
UACGUAGGGGGCAAGCGUUGUCCGGAAUUACUGGGCGUAAAGCGCCUGUAGGCGGGAACGUGCGUCGGACGUGAAAGGCGGGGGCUUAACCCCCCGAGCGGCGUUCGAAACGGCGUUUCUUGAGGGUCGAAGAGGAGCGUGGAAUUCCCGGUGUAGCGGUGAAAUGCGUAGAGAUCGGGAGGAACACCCAUGGCGAAGGCAGCGCUCUGGUCGGCAUCUGACGCUGAGAGGCGAAAGCGUGGGGAGCAAACAGG